AUGGACAGGACGUCGAUCCCGGGGGACACGAGACUACGUGAAGGAACUGCUGCAGAGGAUACAACGGUUGCAGUUGGAGUUAGAGGAGUCACGCUGCAGUGGGUAUGGCUGUCGAGUGUGUUCCAGCAGCAGAACCCCAAUGAGAUGCUGGUCAGGAACAGCUCCAAGACAUGCUCAUUUGAAGAUUGGGUUAUCAAUAUCAAUUACGGUUACCUUUCAACGUCUAAUCAGGUCUGCAAGGUAGUGUUAUUUCUCUUCUAUUUUUGUGAUUCUUCAUAUGCAGAAAAUGGUAUGUUCAGCUUAUAUCAUAAAUUCCAUAAGGACUACAUGAUAUGA
rnacentral:rRNA from 1 species